CAUUUUUUCUACACAUCAUUUUUCCUAAAGGAAAUUGCCAUUAUGGGGUUAUUACAUUGAGUCCAGUGCCUACAUUAAGUGCACAGAGGUCAUUACAAACACUAAUAGCCACCACAGACUUGAGUAUAAGUGCUUCAAUUUGACUGUUAGUCCAUAUGAAGGGAUUAUCGGAAGCCAUAAACUGUGCUGUGUAAAUCCACCAAUGAAAUUUCUGAGACACAGGGCAUUGUCUGCAUAUGCAGCUUUGCCCUGAGUAUCUUCCUCCUCUCCUCCCCACCCGGUUUCUCCUGAAUAAUACACGACGGCCCCUCCCUUUCCAUCCCCCUGCCGCAGGGGCGUCCAAUGGAGGGGGCGCAUUUUAUCAAGCUAUCUCCUCCGAGCCAAUCCCCAUCCUCCCAGUGAUCCCUGUAAACCGGAUGCCCUCCCUUCUGCCCCUCACGCAGACGUAAUCGGUGGAUCGGAGGGACAGGCGCUCAGUCGGUGUGGAGUUGCUCGCGGAUGGAGGUGAUGGGAGUGAAGAUACUCAGCAGCCCCCGAAGAGUCGGUCCACCUCGGCAGGACAGUGUAUCCUGCUUUUUUUCCCCCCUCCUUUUUCUUUUUCACGAGCAGGGUGAAGGGAAAUCUUAUGCUGUUCCCGAAGACGAUGAGAAAGAUGAAAGGCUUCAAGAUCCUCUGCUUAAUGAGACGUCUGGGACGGGCCACACCGCUGCCAUUUCUCAUUGUAACCUUCUGUAACGACCCUCCAACGCCGCAUCCUGUGUCGGUAAUUCAUGGGCGGUAAACGCGCGGCUCAAAUAGCUGACGUGUAGCGACGUGUUGCAGCGUCCCGUUAAAAUCGCGCCGCGUGCUGCUCGUUUUUGUCACUGAUUCCACAAUUAACCCAAUAAAGUUUAAUCGCAACCCA